rnacentral:lncRNA from 1 species
CCCAGAUCAGAGAGAUUCAGUAGUCUCUUAAACGAAGAGGAUUCCGGAAGUUCAGAAAAACAUGAGAGGCUUGAGGCAAUGAAGGAAAAAUCGAAAAAUGCGGCGCGCACCCGGAGGGAAAAAGAAAAUGCGGAAUUUUACGAAUUGGCAAAGUUGUUACCAUUGCCGUCCGCCAUUACAAGUCAGUUGGACAAAGCCUCCAUAAUCAGAUUAUCAACAAGUUAUCUCAAGAUGCGAGCUGUGUUUCCAGACGGUCUUGGAGAUGCGUGGGGUCACAGGUCAACACCUAAAACCGCCUUAGAGAAGGAGCUGGGUUCUCAUUUGU